GAAACCAGUAAGCAAGACCUGUAACUCAAGAGGCCACUCUCAAAGACAACAUAUACACAACGUCCCAUAUCUACUAACUUUGGAACCAGGCUUGGUACACUGAAAUUCCAGUUGAGCUUCAUCAAUGAGGGUCCUUUACUUUAUCUUCAUUUUUUGGCUCUUGGCAGCUGCAGGUUUCACUUCCCACUUCAGCUUCAAAUUGCAGCGAGUAACCACAAAGGACCCAAAUUCUAUCGUAUUAAAUUUUCAAGACAACGAGGACUUGUUAUGGAAAAUCUGGGGGAAUGACACUAUGCUGUGUUUCAAUAAGCAAGGCAACUGUUACCAAUAUUGUCCGGAAUGGGAAAAGAAGAUUGGAAGCUGUGCCGAAAGCAUGUUACAAUGUUGCUUGAAGACAGAAAAAAAAAAAAGAAAGAAGAAGCUAAAGGGAUAAAGGAGAUCAGAACUGUUUUUGUUCAUUAUUUUUUUUUAAAUGCUGAUUUUUAUAAAAAAUAAAAGGAAGACCAUUUGACCUCUG